rnacentral:ncRNA from 2 species
ACUUUUCGACAUUGCCAGGGUGCCUGCCGCCCCCAAAAUGAAUUUAAGCAUAAGGGGGGCCAGGGAUAAAAGGAAAAACGGUGAAAUUCCGUUGCAUACCAGCCGUUGCCGUGACCGGGGACAAGGCCUGCAUGAUGCCACUUUUUUAAUUUGGUUCCUUACCAAAACGAAAGGGGAAGGCGCAGGUCAGAGAAUGAUCCGUCAGCCGGAAAGCCUGCCCGGGCAAAAGACCAAGG